rnacentral:rRNA from 1 species
GAUGAACGCUGGCGGCGUGCCUAAUACAUGCAAGUCGAGCGAACGGACGAGAAGCUUGCUUCUCUGAUGUUAGCGGCGGACGGGUGAGUAACACGUGGAUAACCUACCUAUAAGACUGGGAUAACUUCGGGAAACCGGAGCUAAUACCGGAUGAUAUUUUGAACCGCAUGGUUCAAAAGUGAAAGACGGUCUUGCUGUCACUUAUAGAUGGAUCCGCGCUGCAUUAGCUAGUUGGUAAGGUAACGGCUUACCAAGGCAACGAUGCAUAGCCGACCUGAGAGGGUGAUCGGCCACACUGGAACUGAGACACGGUCCAGACUCCUACGGGAGGCAGCAGUAGGGAAUCUUCCGCAAUGGGCGAAAGCCUGACGGGGCAACGCCGCGUGAGUGAUGAAGGUCUUCGGAUCGUAAAACUCUGUUAUUAGGGAAGAACAUAUGUGUAAGUAACUGUGCACAUCUUGACGGCACCUAAUCAGAAAGCCACGGCUAACUACGUG